rnacentral:lncRNA from 1 species
CCGACCGUGUCCCCUGGCCACACUCCCUCCAUCUGGUUGUGUUCAGUCCGAUCCGCCGCCAGGCGGCGCUUGAGUGCAGCCCACUCCGGCAAUCCGGCUGCAAGGCUCAGCUGCCAGCCCUCCUCCUGCCUGAUGCGACGUUUCUAUGGCAGCCAAGCGCAUCAAACUUUGGCCGGCCAGUGCACCUGGGGCACCAGGGCAAGGUGAAGAUAUUUGCUCCUAAUGCUGAGCAGAUGCGCAUCAUUAAUCACUUGGAAGAGAGCCCAGCAGAAAAGAGGAGAAAUGUGCUGGAGGAAAGUGCCAGGAGGGCCAAUGAGGAUGCACUAGACUUGGCAGACCUGAAGUUCAGCGAGCUCGGUGCUGUCGGUGUGCCUGGCAGUUUUGGGGUGGCCCAGAACUGCAUGGUCAACAGCUCUGUGAAGGACACUUCACGCCUUCCACUGUGCUAAGAAGCCCACGAGCUGGUGCUGCAUUGCCCUGUGCUGGCAGCUGAAACCGUCCUGCUUGUGAAGUCACAGUGGGUCAGGAUAAUACUGGGGAUGGAGGGGAAGAAAAGGAUGAAAAGCUUCCUGUCGGGUAAGCACUUUCCUACUUCCCUUCCUCUGGAUGAAUAUAAAUGUAGCUGCUUUUCUGAUAGCUUAAUGAAUUAUCUUUCGUUACCAGUCUGCAGUAUUUGGUGAUUGGCAUUAAUGUGGGGGUGGGCAUAGCAAGGGACUGUAGUUUAAAGCGAUAAGACCAGGUGGUGUUGAAUCACAGAGAAGAUGUAUUCUUACAAAAUACUCUGGCUUAGUCUAUAAGAAGAAUAUUUCAAUAUAGCAAUUCUCUUAUAUGAUAUCAUUCAGCUGCAUGGCUCCAAUCGCGCUUACUUGAAUUGUUUCCUAUCCGUCCUAGUUCAUAAAGCCUUCCUUUCUCUUACUAACUGGCUGGUUCAUUGAAGCCUCAUGUUGGGAUGGAUUCCUUAUGUGCACAGUGCCUGUGAGCUUUUGUUCUGAAUAUUGCUGUGUUUGAGCGGCCAGUGCG